rnacentral:rRNA from 1 species
CCUACGGGAGGCAGCAGUGAGGAAUAUUGGUCAAUGGACGAGAGCCUGAACCAGCCAAGUAGCGUGAAGGAUGACUGCCCUAUGGGUUGUAAACUUCUUUUAUAUGGGAAUAAAAUGUUCCACGUGUGGGAUUUUGUAUGUACCCUAUGAAUAAGGAUCGGCUAACUCCGUGCCAGCAGCCGCGGUAAUACGGAGGAUCCGAGCGUUAUCCGGAUUUAUUGGGUUUAAAGGGAGCGUAGGUGGAAUGUUAAGUCAGUUGUGAAAGUUUGCGGCUCAACCGUUAAAUAGCAGUUGAAACUGGCAGUAUUGAGUACGGGAGAGGUAGGCGGAAUGCGUGGUGUAGCGGUGAAAUGCUUAGAUAUCACGAAGAACUCCGAUUGCGAAGGCAGCUCACUGGAGUGCAACUGACGCUGAGGCUCGAAAGUGUGGGUAUCGAACAGGAUUAGAUACCCGAGUAGUC